rnacentral:rRNA from 1 species
AUUGAACGCUGGCGGCAGGCCUAACACAUGCAAGUCGAACGAGUGGCGGACGGGUGAGUAAUGUCUGGGAAACUGCCCGAUGGAGGGGGAUAACUACUGGAAACGGUAGCUAAUACCGCAUACCAUCGGAUGUGCCCAGUGGGGAUUAGCUAGUAGGUGGGGUAACGGCUCACCUGGGCGACGAGCCCUAGCUGGUCUGGGAGGAUGACCAGCAAAACGGGAACUGAGACACGGUCCAGACUCCUACGGGAGGAGGCAUGGGGGAAUAUUGCACAAUGGGCGAAAGCCUGAUGCAGCCAUGCCGCGUGUAUGAAGAAGGCCUUCGGGUUGUAAAGUACUUUCAGCGAGGAGGCGUUACUCGCAGAAGAAGCACCGGCUAACUCCGUGCCAGCAGCCGCGGUAAUUC